rnacentral:rRNA from 1 species
GACAAACGCUGGCGGCGUGCGUUAAACAUGCAAGUCGAGCGGGGCCCUUCGGGGUUCAGCGGCGAACGGCUGAGUAGCACGUGCCUGACCUGCCCUUCGUGGGGAUAGCGGUCGGAAACGGCCGGUAAUACCGCAUGUGGUCUGUCGUGUGGGUGCGGCAGAGGAAAGCCUUCGGGCGCCGGAGGAGGGGGGCGCGGCCGACU